rnacentral:rRNA from 1 species
GUUUACGACCAUACCACGUUGAAAGCACGCCAUCCCGUCCGAUCUGGCAAGUUAAGCAAUGUUGGGCCUCCUUAGUACUUGGAACUAGGGUUCGGAUAAUCG